UACAGAGGUCCCAAGCGUUGUUCGGAUUCAUUGGGCGUAAAGGGUGCGUAGGCGGCGCGGUAAGUCGGGUGUGAAAUCUCGGAGCUUAACUCCGAAACUGCAUUCGAUACUGCCGUGCUUGAGGACUGGAGAGGAGACUGGAAUUUACGGUGUAAGCGGUGAAAUGCGUAGAUAUCGUAAGGAAGACCAGUGGCGAAGGCGGGUCUCUGGACAGUUCCUGACGCUGAGGCACGAAGGCCAGGGGAGCAAACGGGAUUAGAACGUACCG
rnacentral:rRNA from 1 species